GUUCAAACUCAUAAAUCCAUGGACAAAAAACAAAAUCGGGGUAACAAACUAAAACUGAGGGAAUCGCAUUAAAUAUAAGAGGAGAACAACGAAACAACACUACAAUGUAACACACACAGAAACGGACCAAGCAACAGACAAAAUCCCACGAGAAUAACAAAUAUAACAUCAAAACUAAAUACAUUAAUUUGGGAUAGACAAGUACCGUGACACGUCUUAUCGCAAUGUGAAUUUACUCAAAAAUAAGAGAAAAUAAACGACGCAACGUAAAAAUGUAACACACAGAGAAACGAAC
rnacentral:lncRNA from 1 species